AUAUGAUAAAUCUGGUUUUACAAUAGCAUUUUGAAAGUGAAUUAUUUACAUACCCACAUCUCUUUUGUGAAGCUCUUUUUGAAAUUGCAAAACAUUAGUUCCUUUUUUUUUUGAUAAUAAGAACAUUAGUUCCUUUACAAAUGAUAAUGAUAUAUGUGCUAUGUGGAAUGAAUGUCUUUUUGGUAGUAAGCAGAACCUUUAUUUAUGCUGAAAGAUACAACAAAGGACCAAGUACAUAAGCUACUAUUACUCAAAAUAGCAACCCGUCAC
rnacentral:lncRNA from 1 species